GACUGUUGUCGUCUGCCACGUGUGAGGGGAGAGAGCUGGGCAGCAUAAAGCUGUCCUGCUUCUCUCAAGGGAAAUGCCUUGCUUCCUGCAGAAGAUUUCAGUGAGAAAUGGCUACAGAAUCAGACCUGCUGCUGGCCAAAGCCAAGUCCAUCAGCAAUAGUGGCAGAGCCUUCCAGGGAAAACAUACAUGAGAAAGGAUAUGAAAGACACUGUGCAGCAGCUGUGAGAGAGAGGUGUGAGAAAAAUACAAGAGAAAUACCUGUAGACACCCAAGUCAGUGAAGAGGAAGAGGAUAAGGUACUCCAGGCACCAGAGUAGACAUUCACCUGUAGCCUGUGGAGGAUCCCACACCAGAGCAUGUGGACCUGUCCUGAUGGAAGCUGCAGAUUGUGAAGAGACCAUGUAGGAGCGGGCUCUUGGCAAGAGCUGCAGUCUGAGGAGAGGAGACCUCAUGGAGAAGGUUUUCUGAUAGGAACUCUGGCAUAGGGACCUAUGCUAGUGCAGUUAAUGAAGAACUGCAGCCCAUGGGAUGAACACACAAUGGAGCAGUUUGUGAAGGACUGUAUCCAGCGAGAGGGAGUCCAUGCUGGAACAGCAAAAGAGCUGAGGAGGAAGAAGUGGUACAGACAAAAUGUUUUGAAUGACCACAACUCCCAUUUCCCAUCUUCCCUGUACUGCUAGUAGAGUGGGGAGGAGGUAGAAGAUUUUGGAACAAAGGAGUGAAGUUGAGCUUGGGAAGAAAGAGUAGGAUAAGGGGAAAGUGGUUUCAGUCUUUGUUUCUCUCUAUCCUACUUUAAUAUUUUCUUUUUAAUUAGGAAUAAACUAAAUUAAUAUUCUGCUAGUCAAAUCUGGUCUGCCUCUGAUAGUGAUUGGUGAGGAACCUCCCUGUCCAUAUCUCAAACCACAUGCUUUUCCAUCUAAUUUUCAGCCACUGGCCUGCUGAUGAAGGGGAGUAAGAGAGCACUUGUGUGGGCAUCUGGCAGUCAGCCAAGGUCAGCCCACCAGAGAAGUUUAUAAUUUUGUCACAUCAGAUGAGUCUUUUCUCUCUCUUCCCAGCUCUGCUGUAUUAUCUGGCACAUGAUGUAGGUGGGUGGUAUUGAUUUUCCUAAUGUGCUAAUUCAGACUCUGUCAGAGUCCUUUGAAGCUGAUGUGUUUUCCAUGUUAUGAUCCUAAGCAACUGAAGCUGCUUGGUUUGACACGGGGAAGGAAUUCUCAUAAACUGUUCCAAAUUGAAAGUUUUUUUCUCAUCAGUGAGCAAGAUUCUUUUUCAAGAUUGAGUUCCAUGUUUAAUAUUUACAUCCAGCUUAUGCAGAUUUAUCUGCAAAUAAUCACCCAAGACAUUGCACAUGCAUUUUCAGAGGGGUGCCAGUGAACUGCUUAUGUAGAUUUUCUGCAUAUAAAGUUGCAGAUUUUGCAGCUACCAGAGUUCACAUUUUAAAAUGUGGCCCUAUUAGUGUAAAUUAUACAGUAUUAGCACAUGCUGAAAUUUCAAAGCAAAAUGAUAUAUGUAAUAGCUAAGAUUCUAGAAAAUGACGCAAGAUAAGACAGCAUUUAAAAUACAGGAGAAAGCAAUGUUGAUAACAUAAAAGUAACAAACAGUUUAGAGAAAGAUCCUGAUAUAUCUUGUAAGUAUGUAGGAUGGCAGACUGGAAUUUGCAUGUAAAGGGUAACAGAAAAAAAAAUAUAGACUGUAGUGGUGGAAAGGUGGGAAGGUGUUCCUGCUCAGGGCAGGAGUGUUGGAGCUAGGUGAUCUUUAAGGUCCCUUCUCACCCAAAUGAUUCUAUGAUUCUAUAAUAUAAUGCUUGGCAGAAGUUGUAGUAGUACCUGUAAAUUUGAAUGUUGGUAGUUAAAAAGCAGACAAGAAUACAUAAUCUAAAGGCCCUGCAAAUAAUAUCUUAUUUUUUCACACAGUUUUUAGCACGAGAGCAGUUUUAAGAUAAGGGAAGUUAUGAUUUGUGUAGUUACAAAACUUUGCAUAAUUAUUCAAAAUGCACAGAAAGUACCUAAAGCACAAGGCACAAGCCUGCAGAAGCUCCUGUAUGUACAAAAAGUGCAGGAAAAAGCUAUGUGACAACACUAAUUAUAAAAAAGAAACUGCGCGUGGUAACAGCAGCAUGAAGCUGAGUUUUUUUACCACAAGCACGCUGUAAGGGAGCAUUUUAUGUAAACUAUUAGGCUAGUGGUCUCUAGUCUCGCACUCUAUUCUACUGAAUGUACUGGUUUUGUCUGGGAAAGAGUAGUAAGUCUUCAUAGUAACUUCUACGGGGCUAUGAUUUGUAAAGCCAAAACAGUAUUGAUAACACACUGAUGUUUUAGCUGUUGCUAAGCAGUACUUGCACAUCAUCAAGGCACUUUUUUUCUGCUUCUCAUACUGUCUCACCACUCUGUAGUCUGGGGGUGCACAAGAAUCUGGGAGGGGAUACAGCAGGGACAGCUGACUGCAACUGACCAGACGGAUAUUCCAUAUCAUAUGAUCUCUUGCUUUGCAAUAACAUCUGCAGAGAAUAAGGAUGAAGGAGGAAGGUGUCAGGAGAGAUGGAAUUUGUCUUCCCAAGUAACCGCUAUUCAGGAUGAAGCCCUGCUUUCCUGGAAAUAUCUAAACAUCUGCCUGCCAACAGGAAUUAGUGAAUUAAUUCCUUGCUUUGCAUUGGUUUACUGAUUAAACUAUCUUUAUCUCAACCCACAAGUUUUCUCACUUCUACCCUCAUAAUUCUCUCCCCCAGCCCACUGUGGGGAGUCAGCAGGUGGCUGGGUAGUCCUGAGCUGCCAGCCAGGGUUAACCCACAACACUGCAGAAACUGAAGACAUUUUAAGAAGCAGUGCUUAAACACUACUUAAGAUGAAUUCCCUCCAGAAAGCACUAUGUGAAGCUCAUGUUCUGUGCACCUGCUGUGGUUCCCACAUAGCAUUUUUUGUGAAUUUGGUUUCUACCUCCUUAU